GUUUGAUCUCGGCUCAGAUUGAACGCUGGCGGAUGCUUUACACAUGCAAGUCGAACGGCAGCACGGACUUUGGUCUGGGUGGGCGAGUGAAGUGAACGGGUGAGUAAUGUAUCGGAACGUGCCUAGUAGCGGGGAUAACCACGCGAAAGCGUAGGCUAAUACCGCAUAACGCCCUUCGGGGGAAAGCGGGGACCUUCGGGGCCUCGCACUAUUAGAGCGGCCGACAUCGGAUUAUAGCUAGUUGGUGGGGCAAUGGCUCACCACAGCGACGAUCCGGCUGGUUUGGAGAGGAUCGACCAGCCAUGACUGGGAUCAUACGCCCAGACUCCUACGGAGGCAGCAGUGGGGAAUUUUGGACAAUGGGGAAACCCUGAUCCAGCCAUCCUGCAAAAGGAGAAGGCCUUCGGGUUGUAAAGCACUUUUGGCAGGAAGAAAACGCAUCGGAUAAUACCCGCAACUGACGGUACCUGCAGAAUAAGCACCGGCUAAGACCCAUGUGCCAGCAGCCGCGGUAAUAUGUAGGUGCAAGCGUUAAUUGAAAUUACUGGGCGUGAAGCGUGUAGGCGGUUCGGAAAGAAAGAUGUGAAAUCCCAGAGCUUAACUUUGGAACUGCAUUUUUAACUACCGAGCUAGAGUGUCAGAGGGAGGUGGAAUUCCGCGUGUAGCAGCAAAUGCGUAGAUAUGCGGAGGAACACCGACAUGGCGAAGGCAGCCUCCUGGGGAUAACACCGGACGCCUAUGCACGAAAGUGGGGAGCAAACAGGAUUAGAGCACCCUGGUAGUCCACGCCCUAAACGACGUCAACUAGCUGUUGGGGCUCUCGGGCCUUUGGUAGCGCAGCUAACGGGCGGUGGAAGUUGACUGCCUGGGGAGUACGGUCAAAAGAUUAAACUCAAAGGAAUUGACGACCUUGCACAAGCGGUGGAUGAUGUGAUUAAUUGAUGCAACGCGAAAACCUUACCUACCCUUGACAUGUCUGAAUCCUGAAGAGAUUUGGGAGUGUCGCAAGAGAACCGGAACACAGGUGCUGCAUGGUCACGCUCGUGUCGUGAGAUGCUGGGUUAAGUCCCGCAACGAGCGCAACCCUUGUCAUUAAGCCAGUACAAAAGGGCACUCGACGAGACUGCCGGUGACAAACUGAGUAGCGGUGGGAUGAUCAAGACCUCAUGGCCCUUAUGGGUAGGCUUCACACGUCAUACAAUGGUCGGGACAGAGGGCUGCCAACCCGCGAGGGGAGCCAAUCCCAGAAACCCGAUCGUAGUCCGGAUCGCAGUCUGCAACUGACUGCGUGAAGUCGGAAUCGCUAGAACGCGGAUCAGCAUGUCGCGGUGAAUACGUUCCCGGGUCUGUACACACCGCCCGUCCGCCACCAUGGGGAGUGGGUUUACCAGAAGUAGUUAGCCGCCUAACUGCAAGGAGGGCGAUUACUACGGUAGAUUCAUGACUGGGGUGAAGUCGCAACAAGGC
rnacentral:rRNA from 1 species